CGAGCCGACCGGGCGGCCGCGGUACCUUGCAGCCGCCUCGCGGCGGCCAAGGGCUGAGGAACGUCCGGGCUCCACAGAGCAGGGCGGUGGCUAACGGCCACCCGGGGUGACCCGCGGGACAGUGCCACAGAGAGCAGACCGCCCACCGGAUGACGGUGGGUAAGGGUGAAAGGGUGGGGUAAGAGCCCACCAGCGCGACGGGCGACCGCCGCGGCUCGGUAAACCCCGCCCGGAGCAAGACCGCACAGCUGGCGCCUGAAGGCUGCUCGCCCGAGCCAGCGGGUAGGUCGCAUGAGGUCAUUGGCAACAAUGGUCCAAGAUGAAUGGUCGCCACCGCCAAGCCGGUAACGGCGGGCGGCAACAGAACCCGGCGUACAGGUCGGCUCGUCCG
rnacentral:RNase_P_RNA from 1 species